AGUGAACGCUGGCGGUAGACCUAACACAUGCAAGUCGAACGGCAGCACAGUAAGAGCUUGCUCUUACGGGUGGCGAGUGGCGGACGGGUGAGGAAUACAUCGGAAUCUACUUUUUCGUGGGGGAUAACGUAUGGAAACUUACGCUAAUACCGCAUACGACCUACGGGUGAAAGCAGGGGAUCUUCGGACCUUGCGCGAUUGAAUGAGCCGAUGUCGGAUUAGCUAGUUGGCGGGGUAAAGGCCCACCAAGGCGACGAUCCGUAGCUGGUCUGAGAGGAUGAUCAGCCACACUGGAACUGAGACACGGUCCAGACUCCUACGGGAGGCAGCAGUGGGGAAUAUUGGACAAAGGGCGCAAGCCUGAUCCAGCCAUACCGCGUGGGUGAAGAAGGCCUUCGGGUUGUAAAGCCCUUUUGUUGGGAAAGAAAAGCAGCAGGUUAAUACCCCGCUGUUCUGACGGUACCCAAAGAAUAAGCACCGGCUAACUUCGUG
rnacentral:rRNA from 1 species